rnacentral:rRNA from 1 species
GUGCCAGCCGCCGCGGUAAUACAGAGGAUGCAAGCGUUAUCCGGAAUGAUUGGGCGUAAAGCGUCCGCAGGUGGUUUAGAAAGUCUGCUGUUAAAGCGUGUAGCUCAACUACAUACAGGCAGUGGAAACUAUUAGACUAGAGUAUGUUAGGGGUAGAGGGAAUUCCCAGUGUAGCGGUGAAAUGCGUAGAGAUUGGGAAGAACACCGGUGGCGAAAGCGCUCUGCUAGGACAAUACUGACACUGAGGGACGAAAGCUAGGGGAGCGAAUGGGAUUAGAUACCCCAGUAGUCCUAGCCGUAAACGAUGGAUACUAGGCGUUGCCCGUAUCGACCCGGGCAUUGUCGUAGCUAACGCGUUAAGUAUCCCGCCUGGGGAGUACGCACGCAAGUGUGAAACUUAAAUGAAUUGACGGGG